CCAAACAUGUCGUAAAUAAGUAAAUAGUAUAGAAAAUAUAUGGGUUUGGGGUUAAGAGUAGAAAAAGAAAAGGUUAGGGUUUCGCUGCCUUCUUCUCCACGACCGUACACUCCGUGAUUUUCCGGCAACGUGAAAUUGGCCACAGUAACCACCAUCAGAUAAGUUGCUGAUAAGUUCCAGUAUUAUCUUUGAGCUUCUGGGCGUUCUUCCGAAACUUCAAGAGCUAUAUUUGGAAUUUCUACAGUGCAAGUUUUUAGAAGACGAUGCUAAAAAGAGGUCCCCUACCACCUUUCCCUGCCUCAAGACACUUAAAUUAUUAGCAAUCAAUUUAGAAAAUGGUAUUAUGUUUGCUUUUGAAUUGAUUAAGAGCUUCCCGAAUCUGCAGACCCUUGAAAUCACAUCAAGUUGUCAGAAAAAUAUCCUGGUACCUACAGUUUGUUCUCUAGAUGUAGACUACAAUACAAUGGGGAUGUUUCAGCUUCGAAGUGUUGUCUUUACAUAUUCUAAAGCUUCAGAGAGUGAAGUAUGUUUGAUAAAGUAUUUACUUGCGUGUUCUCCUUUCCUAAAAAAGAUAGUUAUUCGUCCCCACAGCUGUCUAGUACUCGGUGAACAAUUGAUGUUUGCUAGGAAGUUGUUGAAGCUCCAUCGCGCUUCCCCCAAUGUUGACAUCAAUCUAUGCUAGUUUUAUUUCUAUUGAACCCUUUUUUUCCCUGCAUAUUCCAUAGUUUUUGUGUAAGUUUGUAUAUGCUCUUGGCACCACUCUUAGCUUACUUAUGUAAUCCAAGUGGAACUUGUGUUUUUAGAUAUGGAUAUGGUUAUGAUAAUGGUACUUGUUUGGUU